AUUAUGGUAGCUCAGUCGGGUGAGCGCCCGCUUCUCACGCAAGAGAUGCGGGUUCGAAUCCCAGCUGCUAAUG
rnacentral:tRNA from 1 species